rnacentral:rRNA from 1 species
GAUGAACGCUAGCGGCAGGCUUAAUACAUGCAAGUCGUGGGGCAGCGCAGAGUAGCAAUACUUGGGCGGCGACCGGCAAACGGGUGCGGAACACGUACACAACCUUCCUACAAGUGGGGAAUAGCCCAGAGAAAUUUGGAUUAAUACCCCGUAACAUAACGAUGUGGCAUCACAUUGUUAUUAUAGCUUCGGCGCUUGUUGAUGGGUGUGCGGCUGAUUAGAUAGUUGGCGGGGUAACGGCCCACCAAGUCUACGAUCAGUAGCUGAUGUGAGGGCAUGAUCAGCCAAACGGGCACUGAGACACGGGCCCGACUCCUACGGGAGGCAGCAGUAAGGAAUAUUGGUCAAUGGACGCAAGUCUGAACCAGCCAUGCCGCGUGAAGGAUUAAGGUCCUCUGGAUUGUAAACUUCUUUUAUCUGGGACGAAAAAAGGCGAUUCUUCGUCACUUGACGGUACCAGAUGAAUAAGCACCGGCUAACUCCGUGCCAGCCGCCGCCGUAAAAC